GAACGAACGCUGGCGGCGUGGAUUAGGCAUGCAAGUCGAACGAGAAUCUGGAGGUUCAAGUUUUCGGACAAGAACUUUCGGAGGAAAGUGGCGGAAGGGUGAGUACAAUAUGGAUAAUCUACCUUCAAGUUGGGUAUAGCUUCCCGAAAGGGGAGAUAAUCCCGAAUGUGGUGAUCCGGCGCCUGUCGGAGAAUCCAAAGGUGGGGACCGCAAGGCCUGCCGCUUGAAGAUGAGUCCGUGCACUAUCAGCUAGUUGGUGAGGUAAUGGCUCACCAAGGCGAUGACGGUUAGCUGGUCUGAGAGGAUGGUCAGCCACACUGGGACUGAGAUACUGCCCAGACUCCUACGGGAGGCUGCAGUCGAGAAUCAUUCGCAAUGGGCGCAAGCCUGACGGUGCGACGUCGCGUGGAGGAUGAAGGUCUUCGGAUUGUAAACUCCUGUCAUGUGGGAUAAAUGGCCAGGGCAUGAAUAGUGCCUUGGAAUGAUAGUACCACAGGAGGAAGGGACGGCUAACUCUGUGCCAGCAGCCGCGGUAAUUCAGAGGUCCCGAGCGUUGUUCGGAUUUACUGGGCGUAAAGGGAGCGUAGGCGGUUUGGUGUGUCGAAUGUGAAAGCCCACAACUCAACUGUGGAAUGGCAUUCGAAACUACUGAGCUAGAGUACUGGAGAGGAGAGCGGAAUUCUUGGUGUAGCGGUGAAAUGCGUAGAUAUCAAGAGGAACACCGGUGGCGAAGGCGGCUCUCUGGACAGAUACUGACGCUGAGGCUCUAAAGUUAGGGGAGCAAACAGGAUUAGAUACCCUGGUAGUCCUAACCAUAAACGGUGUACACUUGGUGUGCGAGGAAUUGUCCCUUUGCGCGCCGCAGCUAACGCGAUAAGUGUACCGCCUGGGGAGUACGGUCGCAAGAUUAAAACUCAAAGGAAUUGACGGGGACCCGCACAAGCGGUGGAGCAUGUGGCUUAAUUCGAUGCAACGCGAAGAACCUUCCCAGGGCUUGACAUCCUACUAACGAGAUAGAGAUAUGUUAGGUGCCCUUCGGGGAAAGUAGAGACAGGUGGUGCAUGGUUGUCGUCAGCUCGUGUCGUGAGAUGUUGGGUUAAGUCCCGCAACGAGCGCAACCCCUAUUGUUAGUUGCUACGCAAGAGCACUCUAGCGAGACUGCCGUUGACAAAACGGAGGAAGGUAGGGACGACGUCAAAUCAUCAUGCCCCUUAUGUCCUGGGCUACACACGUAAUACAAUGGCGGUCAACAGAGGGAUGCAAAACCGUGAGGUGGAGCGAACCCCUAAAAGCCGUCCCAGUUCAGAUCGUGGGCUGCAACCCGCCCACGUGAAGUCGGAAUCGCUAGUAAUCGCGGAUCAGCAUGCCGCGGUGAAUACGUUCCCGGGCCU
rnacentral:rRNA from 1 species